CGGUAAUUCCAGCUCCAAUAGCGUAUACUAAAGUUGUUGCAGUUAAAAAGCUCGUAGUUGGAUUUCUGUGUGAGAGGGACGGGAAGGCGCAAGCGUUUUUUCUGACCUUUUGCACAUCCUGUCGCAAACCACGGUGCUCUUUACUGUAGUGUCGUUGGGGAUCGACUCGUUUACUUUGAGAAAAAUAGAGUGUUCAAAGCAGGGUAUGCCUCUGUAUGCCUCUGAAUAAGUUAGCAUGGAAUAAUGAUAAAGGACUUCGGUUCAUUUUGUUGGUGUUUGGGACUGAAGUAAUGAUUGAUAGGGACAGUUGGGGGCAUCAGUAUUCAAAAGCGAGAGGUGAAAUUCUUAGACCUUUUGAAGACUAACCGCUGCGAAAGCGUUUGCCAAGGAUGUUCCCUUUGAUCAAGAACUAAAGUUUGGGGAUCGAAGACGAUCAGAUACCGUCGUAGUCUCAACUAUAAACUAUACCAGCUAGGGAUCGGUCAACGUUUAAUCAUUCGACUUGAUCGGCACCUUAUGAGAAAUCAAAGCAUCUGGGUUCCGGGGGGAGUAUGGUCGCAAGGCUGAAACUUAAAGGAAUUGACGGAAGGGCACCACCAGCCGUGGAGCCUGUGGCUUAAUUUGACUCAACACGGGAAAACUUACCAGGUCCAGACAUAGUAAGGAUUGACAGAUUGAUAGCUCUUUCUUGAUUCUGUGGGUGGUGGUGCAUGGCCGUUCUUAGUUGGUGGAGUGAUUUGUCUGGUUAAUUCCGUUAACGAACGAGACCCCAGCCUGCUAAAUAGCGCGGCUGAGCUUUGCUCGGUGCGAGCUUCUUAGAGGGACUAUGAUGCGCGAUAGCACAUGGAAGUUUGGGGCAAUAACAGGUCUGUGAUGCCCUUAGAUGUUCUGGGCCGCACACGGGCUACACUGGCGCCUGCAACGAGCAUAUCAGCUGGCCCGAGAGGGUCUUGGCUAAUCUUUUGAACCGGCGCCGUGCUUGGGAUUGACCAUUGCAAUUGUUGGUCAUGCAACGAGGAAUGCCUUGUAAACGCGAGUCAUCAGCUCGCAUUGAAUACGUCCCUGCCCCUUGUACACACCGCCC
rnacentral:rRNA from 1 species